rnacentral:rRNA from 1 species
UACGUAGGGUGCGAGCGUUAAUCGGAAUUACUGGGCGUAAAGCGUGCGCAGGCGGUUCGUUGUGUCUGAUGUGAAAGCCCCGGGCUUAACCUGGGAAUGGCAUUGGAAACUGGCGAGCUGGAGUGUGGCAGAGGGGGGUGGAAUUCCGCGUGUAGCAGUGAAAUGCGUAGAGAUCGGGAGGAACAUCAGUUGCGAAGGCGGCCACCUGGACCAGCACUGACACUGAGGCACGAAAGCGUGGGGAGCAAACAGG